AUUGAACGCUGGCGGCAGGCCUAACACAUGCAAGUCGAACGAGUGGCGGACGGGUGAGUAAUGUCUGGGAAACUGACUGAUGGAGGGGGAUAACCACUGGAAAACGUAGCUAAUACCGCAUACCAUAACAUUUGCCCAUCUGGGAUUAACUUGUUGGUGGGGUAACGGCUCACUAAGGCGAAGAUCCCUAGGUGGUCUGAGAGGAUGACCAGCCACACUGGAACUGAGACACGGGCCAGAAUCCUACGGGAGGCAGCAGUGGGGAAUAUUGCACAAUGGGCGCAAGCCUGAUGCAGCCAGGCCGCGUGUAUGAAGAAGGCCUUCGGGUUGUAAAGUACGUGCAGCGGGGAGGCGUUACCCGCAGAAGAAGCACCGGCUAACUCCGUGCCAGCCGCCGCGGUAAUUC
rnacentral:rRNA from 1 species